rnacentral:sRNA from 1 species
ACACAGGAGAGGAGGUGGUCCAGCGUUGAAUAGCUGCAGGACUUGUGAGGUGGCUGUCCGCUAGCACCACGGGACAAGUCUCCGACGGUCGUGGAAGCCGGAUGUGGUGCCGGCGAAUUCCAGGCAGUCACCCGUGAUCCCCGGGUCCGAGCCCGUCCAGCUCGGUGUGCGCACCCCCGAGUGCGGCCCGGGGAUCACGUAUUUC